rnacentral:snRNA from 1 species
GUGCUUGCUCAGGCAGCACAUAUGAAAAAUUGGAAUCAAUACAGAGAAGAUUAGCAUGGCCCCUGCAAAAGGAUGACACGCAAAUAAGUGAAGCGUUUCCGCAUUUU